GUUACCUAUCCUACUAUUUACUAACAGUUGAACAAGAACCAAAAACAAAUUAAAACAAAAUAUUUUUUUUUUCAAAUUAAUAAAAUGAGGAGGAUUAAGAAAUCUUCCUGAUUUAGCCAAGAUAGAGACAUUUUCUAACCCCACACUCAUGAGAAAACUGAAAUACUGUGGAUAGAAAGUGCUUCACUGCAUGGAGAAAUUGCAGAAGGGUUUGUCUACUGCAGUGGGACGCUCUAUACUGAGUACAGAAAAAAAUGUGCUUAAUUUGUAUGAAUAAAUUUCCAUUAAUUCAAUGUCUGCUAACCAGGGGAUCUGCAUCUGUAAAGGGCUGUGUAUGUUUACCAAAGGCUGCUGUGAUUUCUUGUAGGGAGAAGGAAGAAAGCCCAAAGUAAUGAGUUUUACUCCAAUGUGAAAAUGGAGAACAGAAGGGCAGGCACUUUUGUCACACCUCUUGCCAUUUAUGAGAAUAUUGAGGACAUGACUGAAAACACAGUUUCAGGCAGUUAAGUCCCACCUAUUGCCCUGUCUGAGGAUAUUGUCCACAGCACUGAAACCACUGACCACUAAAGUCUCUGGAUUCAUUCAUUAGCUUGUCAUAUUAAUAUAUAUUUCUUUUCAUAUUUUAUGUCCAAUUAACCUCUGUCCGUGUCAUUUCUUCACUUUUAAAACUUCUCAUUUCUGUUUCUGCUGUAUCCAUUUAAAUAUUUGCAAUAACACCAAAUGGAUUUUUUUU